AGUCGUUGAUUUCACACUGCCGAGAAAAGCCUCUAGAUAGAAAAUAGGUGCCCGUACCGCAAACCGACACAGGUAGUCAAGAUGAGAAUUCUAAGGUGAGCGAGCGAACUCUCGUUAAGGAACUCGGCAAAAUGACCCCGUAACUUCGGGAGAAGGGGUGCUCUUUAGGGUUAACGCCCAGAAGAGCCGCAGUGAAUAGGCCCAAGCGACUGUUUAUCAAAAACACAGGUCUCUGCUAAACCGUAAGGUGAUGUAUAGGGGCUGACGCCUGCCCGGUGCUGGAAGGUUAAGAGGAGUGGUUAGCUUCUGCGAAGCUACGAAUCGAAGCCCCAGUAAACGGCGGCCGUAACUAUAACGGUCCUAAGGUAGCGAAAUUCCUUGUCGGGUAAGUUCCGACCCGCACGAAAGGCGUAACGAUUUGGGCACUGUCUCAACGAGAGACUCGGUGAAAUCAUAGUACCUGUGAAGAUGCAGGUUACCCGCGACAGGACGGAAAGACCCCGUGGAGCUUUACUGUAGCCUGAUAUUGAAAUUCGGCACAGCUUGUACAGGAUAGGUAGGAGCCUUUGAAACGUGAGCGCUAGCUUACGUGGAGGCGCUGGUGGGAUACUACCCUAGCUG
rnacentral:rRNA from 1 species